UUGGCCCUGGCUGGGCUUUCCAAGCUGCUGGGAAAAGCCGGAACCCACCCCCUACUCACAGGAGAGCUCACGCAAAACUCUUUUGUCAGGCAUGGGUGUGCGGUGGCUGAGCGAGGAGGGAUUUGGGUUUAGGAUUCAAAUAUGCUGAACCAUUCUACCACAGUUUUUACUGAAAGAAGGUUAGAGAGCUUUCUCCUCAACUCUGGAGGCAGGGAGACAGCCACAACCAUGAAAUUCCCUCCUGGAUUCAAGCUGAUCUGCUCACAAAGCAGGAAAAAUGUUUUCCCUGCAGCUGUGAACUUGAGCUAGCAAUAAGUAGCAAGGAUUGUGUUUUCCUGAUGCUGCUGUACCCACCAGCUUGCUUCUGAAGAGCGAUUAACCAAGUUUUCUAGGCUGGAGCCAAGGGCAAACAAGCAAACUUUUGCUUGCACUACGUCCCAGGCAGGUUCUUGGGGAUCCUCUACACAAGGACCAGGCUAUCACUGACCACUUAACCUGUGACAUCGUGUCACCUUCAGAGACAUUUGUGUCCCCAGAGGCUCAGCAUUGCCAGAGCAGGAAAGUGGGGCACAUUUUGUGUUGGAAGCUUUUAGUGAGCCUUCCUGCUUGUUCCUGGAGCAACAUCAG